rnacentral:ncRNA from 1 species
AAUAUGAACAAGCGGUAAAUCGUGAGAUUUAUGCAGCCGGGUCCUCAAGUGUGAGGACAGCAGACCACUGCAUCUAAUUGUAGAGUGCGUGCCUGUGAGACAG